CGUCCGUGAACUCGGACCGUCCGCAGCUCCUCCGCCCGCAAUCCCAUCUGCAUCCAUCCCUCCACAUCCCGCCUGCUGCUCUCUAGCGACCUGGUGGUGCGUGGUGGCCCUCCUGCCGGCAGCAUACUCCGGCGCAUAGGUACUCCUGGCACCCGCUGCGCGGGUCCGCCAUCCAUUGCCACAACCACAAACUUCAUUCUGCAGGCAGCGCGGUUCCCAGCGCACGAGCCCGCGCGAGGGCACUUGCGGCGCCCGUGCCUGAUGAGCCCGCAGAGGCCCUUGAGGCUGCGAGUGCACAGGCAGCGGAGGCCCCUCCCGGCAUCCAAUCUCAGUGGCUUCAGCAGCAAUCGAUAGUAGAUGAAUCAAAUUAUUUUGCGAUCUGUUUUAUUCUGCUGCAAGCAAGCACAGCAGGGGCGUCGUCAGGGAUGGCUGCAGAUUCACCGCAGCAGGCGCAAGCAGGGGUGAGCAGAGACGCCGUCAUUCGGGACAGCCACAGAUUCGAAUCAGAUGCGUGCUCGCGGGCGGAGUUGGGAUGAAGUGGGAUCAUAGACAACCUUACAAAAAAUGCAAUUUACUACUUUCAGAUCAUGUAUCCAUCCCUAUUAAUAUCUGAAGCAUCGUUCUUGGGAGGCAAGGUUAGAUGCUGUCGGCAAGACACUUGUAUACGAAGUCUGCCUCCCUGAUGUGUCAAUCGCCACUUCGAUUCUCCGUGCUCGUCUGUCACGUUUGUUGGUUACCAAGGGUGAGAAGACAAGUGGUAUGCAUUGGUUCAAUCUUUCCGGGUGAGAAGACAAGUGGUAUGCAUUGGUUCAAUCUUUCCUAAUAUGCUUCCUGUACAUGAAAAUUGACCAUGUACAUAUUGUUCAAAUAUUUUA